rnacentral:rRNA from 1 species
GGGCUAAACAUAUUACCGAAACUGUGGAUGAACCUCUUUAGAGGUUCGAGGAAGGAGAGCGUACUAAGGGCGGUGAUGUCAGACCGGAAGGACUGGUGGAGCGCUUAGAAGAGAGAAUGCCGGUAUGAGUAGCGAAAGAAGGGAGAGAAUCCCUUCCACCGAAUAUCUAAGGUAUCCUGAGGAAGGCUCGACCGCUCAGGGUUAGUCGGGACCAAAGCCGAGGCCGAUAGGCGUAGGCGAU